rnacentral:rRNA from 1 species
GACGAACGCUGGCGGCGUGCCUAAUACAUGCAAGUCGAGCGAACUUUUAAAAGCUUGCUUUUAAAAGUUAGCGGCGGACGGGUGAGUAACACGUGGGCAACCUGCCUGUAAGACUGGGAUAACUUCGGGAAACCGGAGCUAAUACCGGAUAAUUCUUUUCUACACAUGUAGAAAAGCUGAAAGACGGUUUCGGCUGUCACUUACAGCUGGGCCCGCGGCGCAUGAGCUAGUUGGUGAGGUAACGGCUCACCAAGGCCACGAUGCGUAGCCGACCUGAGAGGGUGAUCGGCCACACUGGGACUGAGACACGGCCCAGACUCCUACGGGAGGCAGCAGUAGGGAAUCUUCCGCAAUGGACGAAAGUCUGACGGAGCAACGCCGCGUGAGUGAUGAAGGUUUUCGGAUCGUAAAACUCUGUUGUUAGGGAAGAACAAGUACGAGAGUAACUGCUCGUACCUUGACGGUACCUAACCAGAAAGCCACGGCUAACUACGUGCCAGCCGCCGCCGUAACAC